rnacentral:rRNA from 1 species
UACGAGGGGGGCAAGCGUUGUUCGGAAUUACUGGGCGUAAAGGGUGCGUAGGCGGUCGGGUAAGUCUGGUGUGAAAUCUUCGAGCUUAACUCGGAAACUGCAUUGGAUACUAUUCGGCUAGAGAGUUGGAGGGGGGAUUGGAAUACUUGGUGUAGCAGUGAAAUGCGUAGAUAUCAAGUGGAACACCAGUGGCGAAGGCGAAUCCCUGGACAACUUCUGACGCUGAGGCACGAAAGCUAGGGGAGCAAACAGG